rnacentral:rRNA from 1 species
AGAGUUUGAUCCUGGCUCAGAUUGAACGCUGGCGGCAUGCCUUACACAUGCAAGUCGAACGGCAGCACGAGAGCUUGCUCUUGGUGGCGAGUGGCGAACGGGUGAGUAAUAUAUCGGAACGUACCCUAGAGUGGGGGAUAACGUAGCGAAAGUUACGCUAAUACCGCAUACGAUCUACGGAUGAAAGUGGGGGAUCGCAAGACCUCAUGCUCAUGGAGCGGCCGAUAUCUGAUUAGCUAGUUGGUGGGGUAAAAGCUCACCAAGGCGACGAUCAGUAGCUGGUCUGAGAGGACGACCAGCCACACUGGAACUGAGACACGGUCCAGACUCCUACGGGAGGCAGCAGUGGGGAAUUUUGGACAAUGGGCGAAAGCCUGAUUCAGCAAUGCCGCGUGAGUGAAGAAGGCCUUCGGGUUGUAAAGCUCUUUUGUCAGGGAAGAAACGGUGGACUCUAAUACAGAUCACUAAUGACGGUACCUGAAGAAUAAGCACCGGCUAACUACGUGCCAGCAGCCGCGGUAAUACGUAGGGUGCAAGCGUUAAUCGGAAUUACUGGGCGUAAAGCGUGCGCAGGCGGUUGUGCAAGACAGAUGUGAAAUCCCCGGGCUCAACCUGGGAAUUGCAUUUGCGACUGCACGGCUAGAGUGUGUCAGAGGGGGGUAGAAUUCCACGUGUAGCAGUGAAAUGCGUAGAGAUGUGGAGGAAUACCGAUGGCGAAGGCAGCCCCCUGGGAUAACACUGACGCUCAUGCACGAAAGCGUGGGGAGCAAACAGGAUUAGAUACCCUGGUAGUCCACGCCCUAAACGAUGUCUACUGGUUGUCGGGUCUUAAUUGACUUGGUAACGCAGCUAACGCGUGAAGUAGACCGCCUGGGGAGUACGGUCGCAAGAUUAAAACUCAAAGGAAUUGACGGGGACCCGCACAAGCGGUGGAUGAUGUGGAUUAAUUCGAUGCAACGCGAAAAACCUUACCUACCCUUGACAUGUCUGGAAUCCUUGAGAGAUCAGGGAGUGCUCGAAAGAGAAUCAGAACACAGGUGCUGCAUGGCUGUCGUCAGCUCGUGUCGUGAGAUGUUGGGUUAAGUCCCGCAACGAGCGCAACCCUUGUCAUUAGUUGCUACGAAAGGGCACUCUAAUGAGACUGCCGGUGACAAACCGGAGGAAGGUGAGGAUGACGUCAAGUCCUCAUGGCCCUUAUGGGUAGGGCUUCACACGUCAUACAAUGGUACAUACAGAGGGCCGCCAACCCGCGAGGGGGAGCUAAUCCCAGAAAGUGUAUCGUAGUCCGGAUUGUAGUCUGCAACUCGACUACAUGAAGUUGGAAUCGCUAGUAAUCGCGGAUCAGCAUGUCGCGGUGAAUACGUUCCCGGGUCUUGUACACCCCGCCCGUCACACCAUGGGAGCGGGUUUCACCAGAAGUGGGUAGCCUAACCGCAAGGAGGGCGCUCACCACGGUGGGAUUCGUGACUGGGGUGAAGUCGUAACAAGGUA